rnacentral:pre_miRNA from 1 species
AUUCUACUCCCUCCGUUCCACAAUACAUGCCUUCUAUUUGUCAAAAUAUAGAUGUAUUUAGACAUGUUUUAGUAUAUAGGUACAUCCAUUUUUGGACAAAUGGAAGUCAAGUAUUUUGGAACGGAGGGAGUACACA